GUCACGUGUCCUUCCAAGUCCUAAAAAUCUCCCGAAUCUUCAUUCAUCUUCAAUCUCCUCAUGGAUCCGCUUAAAGCUUUACUUAUUGAACAGAAGGCACAGUAUGAAGAAACCUAUUUUGCCUCAAGCAAGGAGUGGAUUGAUGCUUCUGAGGUUUUCAAUUGUAAUUAUUUUUGUGCUUUUUAUUAUUCUUGAUUGAUCUUUUCUUUUUUUGUUUGUUGGGUUAAUUUAAAGGUUGAACAUAAUAAGUUGAUUGAAUCUGCAAAGAGUGUCUAUACACAACUGAUGAGUUCAGUUGCUCUAUUGUCAACAGAUCAGGUCACAAACGCCCUUCAUAAUGUAAGGGGAAUCUCAAGGAGACCCUCAGAGAACUGAGGAGGAGGAGGAGGAGACUCGUGCAAGAAACAGCCAACCGGAUACUCAACAAAUCGAACAGACAACUGAGCAAGAGCUGCAACUGGACAGACAACCGGAUACCGCAGUGUUUUUGAUACCCUGGUUUUCAUUUGGAAAUCACCUGCAAGGAUAUCUCGUUUGCAGAAUGAGCAAGAGCUGAAUUUGGUUUAGAUAGUUUCUUCUACCUCGACCACUUAUAAUUUUUGGCUUUUCGUUGUCUUACAUGCUGAGGCUGCCUAGUUUAGUAGGGUCCCUGGAAAUAGCCAGGUGAAAGGAGAGCAAAUGGCUUGUCAAGUGCUUCUUAAAUUACUUAUGGCAUGAAAAAUCUGAAGUGGAUGUUCUCUUUGAUAUUCUCUCCAUUUUUUUUGUUCCGUAAUUCUACAUUAUUGAGGCUCCCGAGAAAAUCAUUCUUCAGGUACCAUUACAAGUUUAUAUGUCAGUGAUGUUCACUGAUUUUCUUGAAGAGUGAGAAGGAAAAAUAAGCGUAUUUCAUAUUAAUCUCCUUUUCCCAUUGGUAAAACCCUGUAGUCAGAACAUGUGUAUAUGACUGUUUUGUUAGACUUCCAUUUAAGCUAAUAUUUGUUGA